rnacentral:rRNA from 1 species
GGGAUAACAUUUGGAAACAGAUGCUAAUACCGCAUAGAUCCAAGAACCGCAUGGUUCUUGGCUGAAAGAUGGCGUAAGCUAUCGCUUUUGGAUGGACCCGCGGCGUAUUAGCUAGUUGGUGAGGUAAUGGCUCACCAAGGCGAUGAUACGUAGCCGAACUGAGAGGUUGAUCGGCCACAUUGGGACUGAGACACGGCCCAAACUCCUACGGGAGGCAGCAGUAGGGAAUCUUCCACAAUGGACGCAAGUCUGAUGGAGCAACGCCGCGUGAGUGAAGAAGGCUUUCGGGUCGUAAAACUCUGUUGUUGGAGAAUAAUGGUCGGCAGAGUAACUGUUGUCGGCGUGACGGUAUCCAACCAGAAAGCCACGGCUAACUACGUGCCAGCAGCCGCGGUAAUACGUAGGUGGCAAGCGUUAUCCGGAUUUAUUGGGCGUAAAGCGAGCGCAGGCGGUUUUUUAAGUCUGAUGUGAAAGCCCUCGGCUUAACCGAGGAAGCGCAUCGGAAACUGGGAAACUUGAGUGCAGAAGAGGACAGUGGAACUCCAUGUGUAGCGGUGAAAUGCGUAGAUAUAUGGAAGAACACCAGUGGCGAAGGCGGCUGUCUGGUCUGUAACUGACGCUGAGGCUCGAAAGCAUGGGUAGCGAACAGGAUUAGAUACCCUGGUAGUCCAUGCCGUAAACGAUGAAUGCUAGGUGUUGGAGGGUUUCCGCCCUU